rnacentral:rRNA from 1 species
UACGUAGGGUGUAAGCGUUGUCCGGAAUUAUUGGGCGUAAAGAGCUCGUAGGCGGUUUGUUGCGUCGGCUGUGAAAUCCCGAGGCUCAACCUCGGGUCUGCAGUCGAUACGAGCAAACUAGAGUGUUGCAGGGGAGACUGGAAUUCCUGGUGUAGCGGUGAAAUGCGCAGAUAUCAGGAGGAACACCGGUGGCGAAGGCGGGUCUCUGGGCAACAACUGACGCUGGAGGAGCGAAAGCGUGGGGAGCGAACAGG